rnacentral:rRNA from 1 species
UGCAAAUUAAACUCAAAGAUUNCGGGCCCNGCNCAGCAACGGAANGUGUGGUUAAUUGAUGUACACGAAGACCUUACCUGGCUGACAUGCGAUGAACGAUUGCGAAAGCANAGGCUCCCUUCGGGGACAUCGUCACAGGUGUUGCAUGGCUGUCGUCAGUCGUGUCGUNAGAUGUCCGGUUAAGUCCGGUAACGAGCGCAACCCUCGCCGUAUGUUAUAUGUGUCAUGCGGGACCGCCGGUUUCAAGCCGGAGGAAGGUGGGGAUGACGUCAAGUCAGCAUGGCCUUUAUGUCCAGGGCUACACACACGCUACAAUGGCCGGUACAAUGGGUUGCCAAACCGCAAGGUGGAGCCAAUCCCCCAAAGCCGGCCUCAGUUCAGAUUGCAGGCUGCAACUCGCCUGCAUGAAGUCGGAGUUGCUAGUAAUCGCGCGUCAGCUAUAGUGCGGUGAAUACGUUCUCGGGGCUUGUACACACCGCCCGUCACGUCAUGGAAGCUGGUAACACCUGAAGCCAGAGCUCAACCCUCACGGGAGAGCGCUUCUAAGNGGGGCGGUAAUGGAG